UACGUAGGGUGCAAGCGUUGUCCGGAAUCAUUGGGCGUAAAGAGCGUGUAGGCGGCCACUUAAGUCCUGCGUGAAAUCCUGCGGCUCAACCGCAGGCGGUCGUGGGAAACUGGUGGCUAGAGUGCGGGAGAGGAGAGUGGAAUUCCUGGUGUAGCGGUGGAAUGCGCAGAUAUCAGGAAGAACACCGGUGGCGAAGCGGAUCUCUGGGCCUUACCUGACGCUCAGGCGCGAAAGCCUAGGGGAGCGAACUGG
rnacentral:rRNA from 1 species